AUGAUACCCUACUACUAAAUUGCAACGUCCACUCUUAUUGCAUUAUUCUCUCCUUUGCUAAUCAUUUCCACCGAUAAAUACUGUUAUGGAAUGUUUACUUUGUUAGGCCUAAAUCUUGUUUGAGCAUUGAGUGACUCUCAUCCUAUAUGUGUGAAUCCAUUUAGUAAUAUUUCUUUUGAAGGAUUUGAAUUGUUUUGAUUGGUUCUCUUUAGAUUUUCAAGUAGGUAUUAAAUUCUUUGACAUUAGAAAAUCAUCAUAUUCAUUUAUAUCCAUGGUAAUUGCCUUUUGUUCUGUUGUGGUGGUAGAUUUCGGCCUAAGCGGCUGUCUAGGUGCUAGGUGGCUUCUAACCGAAUUGAAAAAUCCUCUAAUCGGCUAAAGUAGGCAUCACUAUUUAUGUACGAUCUUGAACCGGCGGUUUUUAUUUUUUCUAGUUUUGGACAAAAAUGAUUUCAUUUUACUAACAUUAUUAAUGCUGAAACUAAAAGUAAAUAGAGAAAUGAUUUGCUCAAGGAAAAAAAUUUAAGGAAAAAUUCAAGGUUAGAUAUAUAAAGUAAUGUGACCAAAAAAAAUAAAAUGUAUCUAUCAUUGAGUUUUUCCUUAAAUUUGUUUCCUUUGCAUAUCACAAGUCACAACUGCCUUAUAAUUGAGUUAAAAUAUAUCCGAAUCCUUCAGAUCCAUUGAAUGGGGAGGCUUCUGCGCUAAUGUUGCAUGAUCAAUCAGCUUAUGAACAAAAAGUGAAAGAAUACUGCCGGCUAUUCGCAAAGCCGGAGGACGUCGGUAAUUCUCCAGAAGACGAAUCAAGCGACGAAGAAAUGAUUGAAAAUGAAUAUGAUUCUAGUGAUGAACAAAUGUUAGGAAAACCCGACCCUUGAUAAUAGGGUUCACUGUUCCCUGCACAUUGUUGCAGGGCGAAAAGAAAUCAGAUCAUUUCAUAUGCCACAUUGUAAAUAAAAAUACUCAACAAUGAAAUUAUAUAUAUAUGGGGAUUCUUUGAAAUGACU